rnacentral:rRNA from 1 species
UCUACGGGAGGCAGCAGUGGGGAAUAUUGGGCAAUGGACGCAAGUCUGACCCAGCAACGCCGCGUGAAUGAAGAAGGCUUUCGGGUUGUACACUUCUUUUAAGGGGGAAGAGCAUAAGACGGUAUCCCUUGAAUAAGCCACGGCUAACCACGAGCCAGCAGCCGCGGUAACACGGAGGUGGCAAGCGUUGUCCGGAUUUACUGGGUGUAAAGGGCGUGCAGGCGGAGGUACAAGUCAGAGUUGAAAUCCACGGGCUCAACUCGUGAACGGCAUGUGACACUGUUUCCCUUGAGUAUCGGAGAGGUAAUCGGAAUUCCUGGUGUAGCGGUGAAAUGCGUAGAUAUAAGGAGGAACACCAGUGGCGAAGGCGGAUUACUGGACGAUAACUGACGGUGAGGCGCGAAAGCGUGGGGAGCAAACAGGAUUAGAUACCCGGGUAGUC